AUGGCCAACCGAGCCGUCCAGUACGCCAUGGUGGAUGCCUUCACUGGCGAGCCGUUCAAGGGCAACCCGGCGGCGGUGUGCCUCCUGGAUGACGAAGCCGCGGCCGAUGACGACCGGUGGCUUCAGUCUGUCGCCGCGGAGUUCAACGUCUCCCAGACGGCCUUCCUCUCCCGCCGCGACGGCGGCUCCAGCUCGUUCACCCCGCGGUUCCGCCUCCGCUAGUUCAGCCCCGCCACCGAGGUCCCGCUGUGCGGGCACGGGACACUGGCGUCCGCCCACCUCCUCUUCACCGCCGUCCUCGCUUAGCAGCACGACGUGAUCGAGUUCGUGACCGAGUCCGGGGUCCUGACCGCCCGGAAGGUUCCCGUUGCAAGUUCGCGGCCGCGGGAGGAGCAGGGGAAACCGUUCAUCGAGCUGGAUUUCCCUACGAGCGAUGUUCUCGUGGACUGCAGCUCCAGCCACGAGCUGCCGUCCAUAUUCCUGAAGGCCGCGCCCGUCGUCGGAGUUCAUCGAGCGGCAAUCACCGACGACUUCAUUGUAGAACUUUCAUCGGGAGAAGAGGUUGCUGAUGUCCUUCCUAACUUGGAACAACUUAAAAAGUGUGCUGGCAGAGGUGUUAUUGUUACAGGACAGGCGCCACCUGGAUGUGGUUAUGACUUCUUCUCACGUUUCUUCGCCCCGAAAAAAGGGGUAGACGAGGACCCUGUUUGUGGCAGUGCACACUGUGCUCUAGCACCAUACUGGGCCCGAAAACUGGGCAAACAAAGACUGACGACGUUUUAAGUAUCUAAAAGGACCGGAACACUUUAUCUGGAGUUGGAUGCUGCAAAUCGGAGGGUAAAAAUUCAAGGACAAGCCGUUACUGUGAUGGUUGGAACACUCCUAGCUUAG
rnacentral:rRNA from 1 species